rnacentral:misc_RNA from 1 species
AAUUCUCAACUAUACAAGUUUUGAUAACCUGUAUGGCUUGGAUCUUGGGAUUUGCGGGCUCUCACGAGUCGGCUUUCCUUAAAUGCAUUAGCAGAGCUUUUGCCGCUAACCUCUAGUGUGAUAAUUAUCUACGCUAUUGAGUUGCGACAUAUCGAGGCUUAGCUUCUAAUCGUCCGCAAGGACAAUACUUGACA